UACGGGGGGGGCAAGCGAUGUUCGGAAUUACUGGGCGUAAAGGGCUCGUAGGCGGCCAACUAAGUCAUACGUGAAAUCCCUCGGCUUAACCGGGGAACUGCGUCUGAUACUGGAUGGCUUGAGUUCGGGAGAGGGAUGCGGAAUUCUUGGUGUAGCGGUGAAAUGCGUAGAUAUCAAGAGGAACACCUGAGGUGAAGACGGGUUGCUGGGACGACACUGACGCUAAGUGCGCGAAAGCCAGGGGAGCAAACGGG
rnacentral:rRNA from 1 species